AUUGAACGCUGGCGGCAUGCCUUACACAUGCAAGUCGAACGGCAGCGGACCUUCGGGUGCCGGCGAGUGGCGAACGGGUGAGUAAUGCAUCGGAACGUGCCAUUGAGUGGGGGAUAACGUAGCGAAAGUUGCGCUAAUACCGCAUAUUCUGUGAGCAGGAAAGCAGGGGACCGCAAGGCCUUGCGCUCUUUGAGCGGCCGAUGUCAGAUUAGCUAGUUGGUGAGGUAACGGCUUACCAGGGCGACGAUCUGUAGCGGGUCUGAGAGGAUGAUCCGCCACACUGGAACUGAGACACGGUCCAGACUCCUACGGGAGGCAGCAGUGGGGAAUUUUGGACAAUGGGGGCAACCCUGAUCCAGCCAUGCCGCGUGAGUGAAGAAGGCCUCGGUUGUAAG
rnacentral:rRNA from 1 species